ensembl:ncRNA ZK867.17 ncRNA
UCUAAUAGCCGGUCCGUCUCGGAAAAGUUGAGUUCUCUUCGUUGGCGGCCCAGGCACGACCUCCCCAGAGCUAGGCAAUUGUCGACAGGCAGAGACGAUUGCAGUGAGCAAUCACAUGAUGACAGGCUGACUGGAGCAUUGU